rnacentral:precursor_RNA from 15 species
UGGUGACAUUAGAAUUUAGUUGCACCAGCCACACAUAUGCCCAGGUGACAUGCUGUUCUACAUGUGACCUCACCAUAUGUGUUCCUGUUGUAUACCUGCUUAUCCAAGUUCAGU